UUCUUUUCGGAGAGUUUGAUUCUGGCUCAGAACGAACGCUGGCGGCGUGGAUAAGACAUGCAAGUCGAACGAGAUCCUUAGCAAAGCUUGCUUUGCUAAGUCUAGUGGCGAACGGGUGAGUAACACGUGAGCAACCUGCCCAGAAGCAGGGGAUAAGCCACCGAAAGGUGGUCUAAUACCGUAUGUGAUUUCAAGAGGCAUCUCUUGAUGAUUAAAGGGGGGGACCUUCGGGCCUCCCACUUCUGGAUGGGCUCGCGGCCUAUCAGCUAGUUGGUGAGGUAAUGGCUCACCAAGGCAACGACGGGUAACUGGUCUGAGAGGAUGAUCAGUCACACUGGAACUGAGACACGGUCCAGACACCUACGGGUGGCAGCAGUCGAGAAUCAUUCACAAUG
rnacentral:rRNA from 1 species